rnacentral:rRNA from 1 species
UGGGGAAUAUUGGACAAUGGGCGCAAGCCUGAUCCAGCCAUGCCGCGUGAGUGAUGAAGGCCUUAGGGUUGUAAAGCUCUUUUACCAGGGAUGAUAAUGACAGUACCUGGAGAAUAAGCUCCGGCUAACUCCGUGCCAGCAGCCGCGGUAAUACGGAGGGAGCUAGCGUUGUUCGGAAUCACUGGGCGUAAAGCGCGCGUAGGCGGCUACUUAAGUCAGAGGUGAAAGCCCGGGGCUCAACCCCGGAACUGCCUUUGAAACUAGGUAGCUAGAAUUCUGGAGAGGUGAGUGGAAUUCCGAGUGUAGAGGUGAAAUUCGUAGAUAUUCGGAAGAACACCAGUGGCGAAGGCGACUCACUGGACAGAUAUUGACGCUGAGGUGCGAAAGCGUGGGGAGCAAACAGGAUUAGAUACCCCCGUAGUCC